AUGCUACCGAGAAAUAUGCUCGAUGCUGCAACCGGUGCUAUGCGGAGUUUGCAUGACAGUGUUCUUUCUUUGGAGAAGCGGCGUCUCGGAGAGAAGGAUGUGGCAUACCCGGUUUUCGCGGCCAAGGUGCCAGAGGGCAAGUGCUUUGUGGAUAACUCCAUCGGGGGUACGAUCGUCCUGCGGUUUGAUGACAUCCAUGCUAUGUUGAACCUUCAUCCGCUGCACUACACCUUCGUUCGGCUAUUUUUGCUGAGUAUGGAGAUGCGGAUCAUUCGCGAGAAGACCCCGUACAUCGUGAUAGUCGACCCCUUCUACAUGCGUGCCAAGAUCUUGGGCAGCGCUGGGGACCGGCAAGUCGCGAGUUCUUACCUCGAAGGCAUCAUUCUGGCAAACCAAGAUAAGGAUAACUUCCUCGUGCCUUACGUUCCCGAUGACACACGUUGCACGCUCAUCCUCCUAAGCCCCAAAUAUUCCAUGGCCACAUAUUUCGACCCGGACCGUCAGUCGAACAUAGACUACACAAAUGUCAAGAAGGUUCUUGAUGAUGUUCUCCCCGGCUACGUCAAAUCUGGAGGCACCUUCACCAGGCCUAUUCGUAAGUACGGCAAGCACGUGUUCUCCCACAAUACGACGUUCUGCUGCGUCAAGCAGCCAACUGGCGGUCAGAAGGGUGCCUACUACGCCAUCCAUCACAUGGGGGCGAUCGUACGGGACCAUCAUCAACUUCUGCUACCGAGUAGAUUCAAAGAUUGGGCCGCGAGCGUGUCAGCAAUCCAGGACGCGGACAUCAGACAAGAAUUCUUUCGCAUCCAGUCGGAGUUUGCGGAAAUCAUCCAUCAAGAUGUCCUUCGUACCUCGGGGCAGUUCUACCUCAGAAAUCAACCGUCCAACAGUGACAUCGACACAAUCCUACAAAUGCAGGCUGACAACGCCCAUUGUUUCAUGACUCCCACGAUAGACGGUGGCUUCAUCCACACUCCGGUCCCUUGA
rnacentral:rRNA from 1 species